CGCCGGGCCCCCACUUCUCAACUGAUGACUGCGACACUCCCUUGAGGACGGGAGCUCUUUCAGGCCAGUGGUUUGUUGUUCAUCAAGAUAUCCAAGUACCCGGCAACAUUCCUGGCAUAUAAUAGGAAGGCAGAUCUGGUGAAUGAAUGAAUGAAUGGCGGUAUCUGGAGCAGAGACAAUGUAUGUAUAUAUUGCUAUUUAUAUAAUGUCUGCCCCCCCAGUCAUUUUGCCCUUCAGCCCCAAAAUGGCAUAGCAAAACCCCCCUUCCAGUAAGACGCUUAAGAUGAUUCAAUUCCUUGAGAUCCUUCUAUUUUUUUAAGUGUUAUUGCAAUAUAUUGAUAUACAAU
rnacentral:lncRNA from 10 species